rnacentral:lncRNA from 1 species
GCAGUCGUUGGAGUCGUCGACGAGACCCGGCUCCCAUAGGAGUCCGGGCGGAGCUGUCUUGCAAUCAAGGUUAAAGGCGAAGUCCAGCUCCCGUCGGAGUCCGGACAAGGCUUACCAGCAGUUGAAGUUGAGGAUGGAGCCCGGCUCCCGUAGGAGUCCGGGCGGAGUCUGCUUGCUGCUGGAGUUAUUGGCAGAGUCCGGCUCCCGUAGGAGUUCGGAUGCAGUCUGUCUUGCAGUCGUUGGAGUCGUCGGCGAGACCCGGCUCCCGUAGGAGUCCGGGCGGAGCUGUCUUGCAAUCAAGGUUAAAGGCGAAGUCCGACUCCCGUCGGAGUCCGGACAAGGCUUACCAGCAGUUGAAGUUGAGGACGGAGUCCGGCUCCC